rnacentral:rRNA from 1 species
AUUGAACGCUGGCGGCAUGCUUUACACAUGCAAGUCGAACGGUAACAGGCCGCAAGGCGCUGACGAGUGGCGAACGGGUGAGUAAUGCAUCGGCACGUGCCCAGUCGUGGGGGAUAACGCAGCGACAGCUGUGCUCAUACCGCAUACGAUCUAUGGAGGAAAUCGGGGGACCGUAAGGCGUCGUGCGCUUGGAGCGGCCGAUGUCAGAUUAGGUAGUUGGUGGGGUAAAGGCCCACCAAGCCAACGAUCUGUAGCUGGUCUGAGAGGACGACCAGCCACACUGGGACUGAGACACGGCCCAGACUCCUACGGGAGGCAGCAGUGGGGAAUUUUGGACAAUGGGCGCAAGCCUGAUCCAGCAAUGCCGCGUGCAGGAAGAAGGCCUUCGGGUUGUAAACUGCUUUUGUACGGAACGAAACGGUCUGGGUUAAUACCUCGGGCUAAUGACGGUACCGUAAGAAUAAGCACCGGCUAACUACGUGCCAGCCGCCGCCGUAACAC